rnacentral:rRNA from 1 species
UGUGGAAUCUUCCGCAAUGGGUGAAAACCUGACGGAGCGACGCCGCGUGAGUGAAGAAGGUCGUUAUGAUUGUAAAGCUCUGUCCCUGAUGAAGAAAUCAUCAUAAUCUAACAGGUUAUGAUGUUGACGGUAAUCGGGGUAGGAAGCCCUGGCCAACUACGUGCCAGCAGCCGCGGUAAUACGUAGAGGGCAAGCGUUGUCCGGAAUCACUGGGCGUAAAGGGCACGCAGGCGGUAAAGCAAGUCAUAUGUAAAAACUAAGGGCUUAACCCUUAGCUUGCAUAUGAAACUGUUUUACUUGAGAGCAGGAGAAGAGGGCGGAAUUCCUGGAGUAGCGGUGGAAUGCGUAGAUAUCAGGGAGAACGCCAGUGGCGAAAGCGGCUCUCUAUCCUGACUCUGACGCUGAGGUGCGAAAGCCAGGAUAGCUAACG